rnacentral:rRNA from 1 species
GUUUGUGAUUAUUGCCAAGUGGGUACACCUCUUCCCAUACCGAACAGAGAAGUUAAGCACUUGCACGCCGACGAUAGUGUAACAGCAAAAAUAGGUAGUCGCAAAUC